AGUUAAUAAGCUUAAAGCAUAUAUUUUGAAAAUAUAAAUUAGAAAUAAAAUUAAUUUUCUAUUAACUU
rnacentral:tRNA from 1 species